UGCAACCCAAAAGGUGUCUUUUCGGUGCACUCCAAAAGAUACAUUUUCUCAUUCCUCAUUCAUAUCUUAAAAUCCCAACAUCAAUUAGUGAUUGUUAUAAAAACUCAUAGUAAUAAACUUCAAAUAAUGGAUAUGUCUCUAUUUAUAUACGGGGAUGAGCUGAGUGCAUACGUGAAGGCAAAUAAUAUCUCCCAACACUUCAGAAAUGCCAUAGCCAGUUGGUAGAGUAGUGUACAAUUAGCAAGGAGUAAUUAUGAGAUCCACCAAAAUCCAACUUUUUGGUGAUUCUGCCAGAUAUCAACUGUUCAAUUUCUUGUUAGGAAUAAAGUGGUGUGAAGAUGAAGAAAUUUGGAGCAAAUAUUGAAUAAAAAGUGCAAGAACAAGAAAAAUAGAACCGAUGGAAAAAUAAGAGAUAUGUAACGUUGAAGUGGAAAGAAGAAAAGGAAAAGAGAGAGAGGAGAGAAGUGGGGAACAUAAUUAUGGGCUAAUGAUGGGAGAAAGUAACAUUUGCAAAAGAUGAAUUAAAUUGAAGAAAGGAAAGAACGCCUGGAAGGCGGCUGCGAGAAUUGAGCUGCUGGAAAAUUGCGCGUAUGCGACGCGCAGCGUUCCUCGAGCCCGCUACUCUUUCUUGAUCCGAGUUGGAUCUGGUUUUUAAAAGCCUAUAAAUUUUGAUACCCUAUAAAUAUACAUUUUACAUAAUUUUGGACCUAGAGAGAGUUUGGAGCCGCCGUAGAGGCCGGAAUUACAGAGUUUUACCUUCUCUUCUCUGUAUUACUCGUUUUUAUAUUUUUAUUCGGAUGAUUUGUUAUUUUUCCUUCAUGUCUAUGUGGAGCUAAACUCUUUAGUUCUA